UCCUACCUCCCCAGCUGUUGAGUCUGCACAGCAGAUUCAUGCCCUCUCCCAAGUUCUAGCCAGAAGACUUUGCACUUUGUUAGAAUUAUUACCACAUUCAUCUGGAGGUUUCUUUCUCCCCGUGGUCUUUUCUCAGUUCUUCUGGCAGUCCUCCACUAGGAUCCCGCAUGAGACAAGUCAGAAACGGCUUCCCCAGGGACCCAGAAAACCCACAGGGCUUUUCCAGCUUCUUCCUGUAAUCCUGUAUUUCGUUGAGCUUUCUAAAUUGACUCAGCUCCAGAUUUUUAUCAUGAGAACCUGACGGCAUUCCUGGAAGUAAAGUACAUGAAAACUGACAGACUUCCCUAAGACUGCUACCCCUAAUGCAUGUUUAACUCUCAUGCUAGUCUUCACUUAGUUCUUAGGAAUGAAUCAGAAUGGCCAUUCAUCUGCUGCUACCAGUUUAUGACCAGUGAUUUCUGCUCCAAUAUCUCAGAGUGGAACUACAUUGGAAAUAAAGUCACUAAAGAGAUGAUUGUGUUAAUAUGAGAUUCUUAGGAUGGGAUCCUACUUCAACAUGACUGGUGGCAUUGUAAUAAGAAAACAUCUGGACACAUAAAGGGACAGCAGGGAUGAGUGCACACAGAGAAACAGCCAUGUGAGGACAUAUCCGGAAGGUGACCGUCUAUAAGCCAAAGAAAUAUGCCUCAGGAAUAACCAAACCCAUCAACACCUUGAUCUAGAACUUCUAGUCUCAAGAACUGUGAGAAAUAAAUUUCUGCUGUUUGAACUAUCCAUUGUGUGUUAGUUUCUUAUGGCAGCCUGAGCAAACUAUAACAGAACUCUUAGCUUUUUCUCAUGUCUCAGUUGCACUUAAUUGUCAUUUUCUGCAUCUCUACUGCAGAUUCUAGAUCACUUCAUUCUCAGCCACCAACUAUGCUGGAGUAGGUGGCAUACAUGGUAAAAUACUUAGCAUACUCAGACUAAUAUAAAUUUUUCUACCACUCAAUCUUGGUAACUUAGAGCAGUAACAAAAAUUUCAAAUGUUUAGACUCUGUUAUUAAAUUAUAGUUCAAGCAGUUACUAAGUUUCAUCGUAUUUUCUUGUGAUAAAUCAUUUAAAAGCAAAAUUGAAAAUCUACAAUAUAACUAUUCACUCUAGAUUAGUUAAACUAAUCUAGAGAGACAAAUGUCUGUGCUAUUGUUAGAGGAAACAAAACUGUGAAACAUAAUAUAUUGGCACCCAUGAUAAAUAAUUCUUCACCCAAUACUUGAGAAGUUUCACUGAAUUCCAUGAGAGGGAAAGAAAAAGUACAGAUAAGUACAUUUAAAGAAAUUACAUCUUAAAAUUCUAUUAAAAAUGAAUAAUGUAUGGGCUGAUCGUGGUGGCUCAAGCCUGUAAUCCCAGCACUUUGGGAGGCUGAGGCGGGCGGACACCUGAGGUCAAGAGUUCAAGACCAGCCUGACCAACAUGGAGAAACCCCAUCUCUACUAAAAAUACAAAAUUAGCCUGGCAUGGUGGCACAUGCUUGUAAUCCCAGCUACUCGGUAGGCUGAGGCAGGAGAAUCGUUUGAACCUGGGAGGCGGAGGUUGGGGUGAACUGAGAUCAUACCAUUGCACUCCAGUCUGAAAAAAAAAGAAAGAAAGACUAAUGUAUGAAAAGACAAUUACAUGGAUUGCCCUCUCCUCAGGAUAUCAGAAUUCUAAAAUCGACAAUUUAUUUUGAUUUGUGUAAUUAUGAAUAACCCCUUUUAUCUUUGUUUAAUCUAAGUUUUGUAUUAUUGUUUUAAUAAUAGAGUAUUAAUGUUUUGUAUUCUUGAAGAGGAACUUAGAUUCAUAUAGAUGUAAUUGUAGGAAGAUUUUCUUUGCCUUUUGCAAAAUGCCAAUUUAAAAAGGGAGAAUGAAAGAAGAGUUCAGAAUCUAUAAGUGUUUUUAUUUACUACAUGCAUACACUCUGCUGUUGGAUAAGAGUAAGCAACAUUUAGGCUGGGGUCAUCAUUUAAUAUUUUAUAUGAAUUUAUCUGAGACCAUAAUGGGGCAAGAAUAUCUCUACUCUAAAUAGCAGCCAAAUGUUAGUUAAUGCAGAUAAGGACAAAACUAAUAAAUUCCCUUUUAUUGUUGCAUUAAUUUAUUUAACAUGUAUCUUAUAUAUCCACAUGCAUUCCAAGAAAUGGAGGACAUUAUGUUAAGUGAAAUAAGCCAGGUACAGAAAGACAAAUUUUCCAUGUUCUUCCUCAUAUGUGGGAGCCAAACAUUUAAAAAAUUAAACUCAUGGAGAUAGAGAGUCAAAUGAUAGUAAUCAGAGGCUGGGAAAAGUAACAAGGAGGGUGAUAUAAAGUGAGGAUAGCUAAUGGGUACAAAAAUAUAGUUACAUAGAAUGAGUAAGAUGUAGUAUUCAGUAGCACAACAGGGUGAAUAUAGUUAAUAAUAAUCUAUUGUAUAUUUUGAAAUAACUAAAACAGUGGAAUUGUAAUGAUCCUAACACAAUAAUGAAUGCUUGAGAUGUUGGCUAUCCCAAUGACUCUGAUUUGAUUAUUACACAUUGUAUGCCUGUUUGAAGACAUCAUAUGUACUUCAUAAAUGUAUACAACUAUAAUGUACCCAAAAUAAUAAAAAGUAAUUUAUAAAAAGAACUGUGAACUUGAGAUGCUGCAAUAAAUAAGGGAAAUGUCACCGUGUUCAGUGAGGUUAUAAUUUAGUGUUGGAUUCCAUUUUUAAAAAAGCAUGGUUUGUGUGA